GACAGAGGGUGCAAACGUUGCUCGGAAUUACUGGGCGUAAAGCGCGUGUAGGCGGUUUGUUAAGUCUGAUGUGAAAGCCCCGGGCUCAACCUGGGAAGUGCAUUGGAAACUGGCAGACUUGAAUACGGGAGAGGGCAGUGGAAUUCCUGGUGUAGGAGUGAAAUCCGUAGAUAUCAGGAGGAACACCGGUGGCGAAGGCGGGUCUCUGGGCCGAUACUGACGCUGAGGAGCGAAAGCGUGGGGAGCGAACCGG
rnacentral:rRNA from 1 species